rnacentral:rRNA from 1 species
GGAUGCAAGCGUUAUCCGGAUUUAUUGGGUUUAAAGGGUGCGUAGGCGGGAAAUUAAGUCAGUGGUGAAAUCCUGCAGCUUAACUGUAGAACUGCCAUUGAUACUGGUUUCCUUGAGUAUAGUUGAAGUGGGCGGAAUGUGAAUUGUAGCGGUGAAAUGCUUAGAUAUUACACAGAACACCUAUUGCGAAGGCAGCUCACUAAACUAAUACUGACGCUGAGGCACGAAAGCGUGGGGAGCAAACAGGAUUAGAUACCCUGGUAGUCCACGCCGUAAACGUUGAUUACUCGAUGUGUGCGAUACACUGUACGCGUCUGAGCGAAAGCAUUAAGUAAUCCACCUGGGGAGUACGAUCGCAAGAUUGAAACUCAAAGGAAUUGACGGGGGCCCGCACAAGCGGAGGAACAUGUGGUUUAAUUCGAUGAUACGCGAGGAACCUUACCUGGGCUUAAAUGUAGACUGAUUUCCGCCGAAAGGUGGUUUCCUUCGGGGCAGACUGCAAGGUGCUGCAUGGUUGUCGUCAGCUCAUGCCGUGAGGUGUCGGGUUAAGUCCCAUAACGAGCGCAACCCCUAUCGUUAGUUGCCAGCGAGUAAUGUCGGGGACUCUAGCGAAACUGCCGGUGUAAACCGUGAGGAGGGUGGGGAUGACGUCAAAUCAGCACGGCCCUUAUGUCCAGGGCUACACACGUGUUACAAUGGCCGGUACAGAGGGCAGCUACCUGGUGACAGGUUGCAAAUCUCGAAAACCGGUCUUAGUUCGGAUCGAAGUCUGCAACUCGACUUCGUGAAGCUGGAUUCGCUAGUAAUCGCGCAUCAGCCAUGGCGCGGUGAAUACGUUCCCGGGCCUUGUACACACCGCCCGUCAAGCCAUGGAAGUUGGGGGUGCCUGAAGUCCGUAACCGCAAGGAGCGGCCUAGGGUAAAACCAGUGACUGGGGCU